rnacentral:rRNA from 1 species
CCUACGGGAGGCAGCAGCAAGGAAUAUUGUGCAAUGGGCGAAAGCCUGACACAGCGACGCCGCGUGGGGGAAGAAGGCCUUCGGGUUGUAAACCCCUUUUCUCAGGGAAGAAUAAUGACGGUACCUCAGGAAUAAGCCUCGGCUAACUACGU